CGACGAUUGCCUUUGGACGUGAAAUAUCUCUCGUGCAUUUAUCGCCAUAGUUGUUAAACCAAAGAUGUUCAAGUACCUUCUUCUGGCGAGUAUCCUGGUUCUGGCCAUGGCCGUUCUCGUACAAUCUCAAGGUCGGAGCCCAAUGACCCAAGCUAUGCAGAACCGUCAGACAUACCAACCCGCGGGCAUGUUCGGGAACAUGAACAUGAACACACUCUUCUGGCUUUAUAUGAUGGACGGGGGUUUCUUCUAGUCAGAUGACGCCAAAAUGCGACACGGAUGUCGUCAAAAUGCGGCACGAACGUCGACAAAAUGCGACAUGUUGUCAAAGACACUGUACAUAGAUUUGUUGUUGUAAAACGGGUGCUGUCGCGAUUUUGUGAAUAGUUGUUGAUAAAUAUCAUUAAACCAUAUCGUCAUACA